CCCGGUCCGACCGGUUCAGGGUCCACCGGUUCCACCACGUCGAGUUCUGGUGCACCGACGCCACCAACGCCGCCCUCCGAUUCUCCUGGGGACUCGGCAUGCCCAUGGUAGCUAAGUCCGACCUCUCCACCGGCAAUCAAACCCAUGCCUCCUACCUUCUCCGCUCCGGCGACCUCAAUUUCCUCUUCACCGCCCCGUACUCCCCCACCCUGACCCGAACCGCCGACCCGGCCCGGCCCAGCAACUCCAGCGCCUCCAUCCCCACCUUCGACCACACCGCCUCCCGCGCCUUCUCUGCCACCCACGGCCUCGGCGUCCGCGCCGUCGCCAUCCAAGUCGAAGACGCCGUCUCCGCCUUCACCACCAGCGUCGCCCACGGCGCCAAACCCUCGGCCGCCCCCAUCCUCCUCGACAACCGCGUCACCAUCGCGGAAGUCCAACUCUACGGCGACGUUGUUUUGCGGUACGUCAGCUACUCGGACCACAACCACCUCACAGAUCCGGACCCCAACCUCUGGUUCCUCCCCGGAUUCGAACCCCUACCGUCGUCGUUUCCAAUCGACUUCGGAAUCCGCCGCCUCGACCACGCCGUCGGCAACGUGGAGGAUCUCAAAUCGGUGAUAUCGUACGUCAAAGGCUUCACCGGAUUCCACGAGUUCGCCGAGUUCACCGCCGACGACGUCGGAACGAGCGAGAGCGGAUUAAACUCCGUCGUUUUGGCGAACAACGAGGAGAUGGUGCUGCUUCCGAUGAACGAGCCGGUGUACGGGACGAAGAGGAAGAGCCAGAUUCAGACGUACCUGGAGCACAACGAGGGGGCCGGACUCCAGCAUUUGGCGCUGGUGAGCGAGGACAUAUUCAGGACGCUGAGGGAGAUGCGGAGCCGCAGCAGCGUCGGCGGAUUUCAGUUUAUGCCGAAGCCGCCGCCGACGUAUUACGAGAAUUUGAAGAAGAGGGCAGGG
rnacentral:lncRNA from 1 species